AUGCGAGGUACCCUCGUGGCAGAGAGGCAGAAACUCAUUGAGAGUGAAAGUCUUCAAAAGUUUGAGCUCAAAGUCAAUUGUUCAGGCCAAGAAUUCAAGGAAUAUAUCAGGAAAAGAAGACUACACAUCAGAAAAGUUGCGUCGUACAAUUUUGGGGAAAAAAUUGUGGCAACACCACCUGAUCAUGUGGUUACCUUCAAUAUGACCGAACUAAUGGAAGGUAGCCCUGAGGUAUCUGUAUUGCAAAUGCUCUGCUGUGAUUGGAGUGGUUAUUUCAUGCUAUUGCGAGAAACUCCAGACUACUCGCAGGACCCUAAGAAGAGGUACCAGAAAGGAGGUUUCUUGACAUUUGCUCGCAUGAAGGAGAAGAUGUAUUUGCCAGAUAUUUUUGGACCCAUCACUGAGUUAGAGCAAUAUGAAGAAGCUUACACGGAUGUGAAACAAGUUGAAAUAUUCCAGAGCUUUCUUAAGAGAAUGAGCGAUGGACUUAGGACCCUCAAUGUGGACAAUCGACGAGAAUUUGAUCCUUAUAUCGUUCGUUUGCUGAAUCUGGCGAUGUUCUUAUCGGAGAGUGCCCACGCUUUCCCUGAAAGUGAGGACUUUGUGGUUGCGAAUUGGGACAGGCCCCUUUCUCAUCUGUCAAGGGUGACCCAGAGGCUGGAUGGACUGAUCCAUGUAUGGUCUUUUCUAUCAAAACUGGCGUUCAAAUUUUUCGUCGCCAUCAUAGAAUUCGACAUGCAUUUCCGGGGGUCUCGAGCUAGUUUUGAUGAAGCUAGGGAGCUGAUGCAUACGGCACUUGGGAGAGGUAGGCCUGCCCUGGAGCUGGAUGACAGCCUCAAUUUGAAGACCCUGCAGCUAGAUUUUUGUGGAGCAGAUGGGAGGUUCAAUUUGAGAACACUGCUGGGGAGUUAUCUUCGGGUCUUGAAGUGUGAAAAGCAUGAUAUCAUUAGGAUCAUCAUGCGGACUAAACAUAGAGUCACCAACUUCCUCCACGAGUACCCACCCAAACCUGAAGAGCAAAACCCGAAAGAGUUGUCACCAGAGGAUAAGAUUGCAGCAGAGCUUAGGAAAAAUGAAGACGAUGCUGAAUAUGUUCGAUGGGGGACUAUCAGAGAUGUGCAAGGGUUGAAAUUGAUAGAUUUCCUCUUGAAUGAUUUGCCCAUCGAUGAGGCCCAGUAA
rnacentral:rRNA from 1 species